AAUAGAUACCCCGGUAGUCCACGCCGUAAACGAUGAGUGCUAAGUGUUGGGGGGUUUCCGCCCCUCAGUGCUGCAGCUAACGCAUUAAGCACUCCGCCUGGGGAGUACGGUCGCAAGACUGAAACUCAAAGGAAUUGACGGGGGCCCGCACAAGCGGUGGAGCAUGUGGUUUAAUUCGAAGCAACGCGAAGAACCUUACCAGGUCUUGACAUCCCGGUGACCACUAUGGAGACAUAGUUUCCCCUUCGGGGGCAACGGUGACAGGUGGUGCAUGGUUGUCGUCAGCUCGUGUCGUGAGAUGUUGGGUUAAGUCCCGCAACGAGCGCAACCCUUAUUCUUAGUUGCCAUCAUUUAGUUGGGCACUCUAAGGAGACUGCCGGUGAUAAACCGGAGGAAGGUGGGGAUGACGUCAAAUCAUCAUGCCCCUUAUGACCUGGGCUACACACGUGCUACAAUGGACGGUACAAACGGUUGCCAACCCGCGAGGGGGAGCUAAUCCGAUAAAACCGUUCUCAGUUCGGAUUGUAGGCUGCAACUCGCCUACAUGAAGCC
rnacentral:rRNA from 1 species